rnacentral:misc_RNA from 1 species
CUGUUCAAGACUAAUGUUCGGUGAAUUUCUUCUCAAUUCAUCUUCAAAGAUACUACAAAGCAGUAUAAAUUAUAAUCAAAUUUUAGCCACUCAUACUAUAUAUCUUAAUGAAGUUGCCAAAAUUAAUAAGUUACUGUACAAAUGGUUGAACUUCUUCACAAUUUAACAACACAUACAAGUGUGCUGCAUCCCACUCAUCAUCAGAAAAAUAUCUUUCUGUCAUCUUUCCAGCCGGACGUCUUGGGUGCACAAACAUGGGCAAGCAACCAUCAGGUGCAUCAACUGCAUCUCCAUCAUCAUUUCGACUAACUUUGUUCAGCCUAGUUAGAACAUGAGGCUGGAAAUAAUAGGAAGUGAAUGUUGACGUUUCUUGAAUGAGAUAAGCUUCACAUAUUGAUCCAUCUACACGAGCUUUAUUUUUCACCUUCUUCUUGAGAUCAUGUAGCAUCCGCUCAAAUGGUUAUAUCCACCGAAAUUGAAUUGUACCACCAGCUUUUGCUUCAUAUGGUAAAUGUAUCGGCAAAUGUUCCAUGGAAUCAAAGAAACCAGGAGGAAAUAUUUUCUCUAACUUGCAUGUUGUCAACACAAUGCUUCGUUCAAGCUUCUGUAUGUCUUCUACUUGUAACACUGUUGAGCAUAAACUCUUAAAAAAUAAACUAAUCUCAGUUAAGGCAUUCCAAAUUGGCUCAGAUAUCAAAUCCAGAAAUGCAGUUGGUAGCAACCUUUCCAUAAACACAUGACAAUCAUGGCUCUUCAUCCCUGACAAUUUGCAAUCUCCUAGGUCAACACAUUUAGACAAAUUGGAGGCAUAACCAUCUGGAAGCCUUAAUUUUUUUACCCAUUCACAUGUCAAUUUUCUUUGUUCCUUUGAUAAUGUGUAGGCUGCUUUUGGCUUUAUAAUUUUCCCAUGGUGCUCGUGCUCCUUCAUUUCAAUAUCUGGACGAUUCAAUAAGUUUGCAUAUCCCUUCAAGCUUUUAAAUUGUCCUUUGUUUUACCCUUGACAUCCAUUACUGUGUUGAAUAUAUUAUCAAACACAUUUUUCUCUAUAUGCAUCACAUCAAGAUUGUCCGAAUAAGAUUUGAGUGCCAAUACGGCAAUUCCCAAAAGAUGCAUUUGUCCAAUUAUGUUGAACACCAAAUCCCGGUAACUUAUCCAAUGCAAGAUCAUAAAAAAUUUUUGGCAGGUCACAUACUUCCCUCCAAACUUCUUCACUAGAUAGCCUAGGAAGAGGAGUAGAGCGCUUAACCCUUCCUUUGAAAAAUGAUUUUCUAUCCCUUCGAAAUGAAUGAUCUAUAGGCAAAAAUUGACAAUGACAAUCAAAGAAUGAAGUCUUUUUCCCAUCUUUCAAGUAAAAUGCCUUGCUUUUUCCCAUACAAUAAGGCCAUGACAAUACACUGUGCGUGCUCCAUCCAGAUAACAUUCCAUAAGCUGGGUAGUCAUUAAUAGUCCACAUAAGUGUUGCUCGCAUUUGGAAAUUCUGUUUACUAUGAGAGUCGUAAGUCUCCACACCAACAUCCCAUAAUUGUUUCAACUCAUAAAUGAGAGGUUGCAAGUAUAAGUCUAUGUUCUUCUCAAGGCUUUUUGGACCAGGAAUGAUAAGACUUAAGAACAAGUAAGGGCUGCUCAUGCACAUUCCAGGUGGAAGAUUGUAUGGCAUGAUAAUUACUGGCCAACAAGAAUAAGGAUUGGCCAUUUGCCUAUAAGGAGAAAACCCAUCAGCUGAAAGACCAAGCCUAACAUCUUGAGGCUCAGAUGCAAUGCCAGGAUGGCAUUGGUCAAACUUUUUCCAUGCAUCUCCAUCACUUGGGUGACUCAUCACCCUAGGUUUUCGAUAAGUUUUCCAAUGCAAUGUCAUAUGUUCAGCUGUCUUUGUUAACAUAUAUAACCUUUGUAGUCUUGGUGUUAAAGGAAAGUAAUGUAGUAUUUUAUAUGGAAUGUCCUUUUGCUUUCCAUCACCAAUUCUACUAGGCCUAUAACGUGGGUGACCAAAUUUUGGAUAAUCCCUUCUGUCUUUGUUAUCCUUGUAAUAUAGGAUAUAACUUGUAUUGCACGCAUCUAUCUUUUCAUAUCCAAACCCAAGCUUUGCAACCAUCUGUUUGGUCCUAUAAUAAUCAUUGGGUAACUUA